rnacentral:rRNA from 1 species
AUUGAACGCUGGCGGCAGGCCUAACACAUGCAAGUCGAACGGUAACAGGAAGAAGCUUGCUUCUUUGCUGACGAGUGGCGGACGGGUGAGUAAUGUCUGGGAAACUGCCUGAUGGAGGGGGAUAACUACUGGAAACGGUAGCUAAUACCGCAUAACGUCGCAAGACCAAAGAGGGGGACCUUCGGGCCUCUUGCCAUCGGAUGUGCCCAGAUGGGAUUAGCUAGUAGGUGGGGUAACGGCUCACCUAGGCGACGAUCCCUAGCUGGUCUGAGAGGAUGACCAGCCACCCUGGAACGGAGACACGGUCCAGACUCCUACGGGAGGCAGCAGUGGGGAAUAUUGACCAAUGGGCGCAAGCCUGAUGCAGCCAUGCCGAGUGUAUGAAGAAGGCCUUCGGGUUGUAAAGUACUUUCAGCGGGGAGGAAGGGAGUAAAGUUAAUACCUUUGCUCAUUGACGUUACCCGCAGAAGAAGCACCGGCUAACUCCGUG